rnacentral:misc_RNA from 1 species
UACUCUCACACUCUCCGAUCCUUUGGAUUUGGGGAGUGGUGGACUUGGGUGCUUGCUGCUUUUGUUGUGGCUCACCUUAAAUGUGUCUGUGCAUCUCUUGAUUGGACAUAGUACGGCGUGAUAAGUGUCUUCGCCGGCACCUCAUAAGAGGGUGGCCGAUCGGGAGCUCUGUGCUUUCAAACCGUCUUCGGACAAUCUCUGACA